AUCACCAAUCUAGAAUCGUUUCCGAGUGUUUCAUCCAAGUCUAGUCUAACCCUGUUUUACCCCCCUUGCAGCUAUCCAGUGUUAUGCCAUAAGUACGCCAUGAUGAAUAAUUGAUCUCAGAUUGGAUCCUGAACAGUAAGGGAAGAGGUGACAAAAAGAAUUCACUCCUGCUGCAACAUAAGACCCUCAAGGCUUGAACGGCCCCUCCUUCUCUCACCAGGGGUCCUGCUGUGAUAACACCUUCCUCCCAGAUCUCUUCGGCAUUCUUCUGCAGACUUCUUCAGUUCUCUUCUCUUCAGCCUUCUUCACUUCUCAGACUGCACAGAUCGCCUCCUGCUCAGACCAGGAAAGAGCUGCUUCGGACCAUGGGCCCUGCACAGGCCUGACCGACGCACAUCCAGCAUCUGGAGAGGUCUCUCAUCGCCUGGGGAACAUGUCCGGGCAAAUACAGAGCUAAGUUGCUGUCUUAACCCCAUAAUCAGAUGCAGGAAGAAGGAUCCUGCAUGCCAAAAACAGUUUUGUUGCAUUUCUCCUCAGCACACAGGGAAGAGAACCCCAGAUUCCGCUGAAAGCCAGCAGCAGAGCCCAUGCUGUAUGCUGAGGAAAACCCCUGCUCAAAUCGGACUGCAUUCUGGUCAAAGAACGUGGCCUCCAAGCUAUCCAGACCACACUGUUUGGAUCUGAGCUGGACACCCUCUCAGAAGAUGACCUGAUUAGAAAGUAUUUCCAUGAUGGCUAUAGUCAUUCAGAAAUUUUGGAUUUCUUGGGAAACCUUCACAAUGUUGAAAUGAGCCUUCGCUCCUUAAAGAGCAAAUUAAAAAAUUAUCACUCUUUAGAAAAAGAAGUUACACACCGCCUCACUUGGUACGUGCUGCUAUUGAAGAAGAGCUAAAGGGACCAGGCCAGCAUUAUGGUUAUCACUUGAUGUGGCAGACACUCCGACAGAAGUAUUGUCUGACUGUCAGAAGAGACGAUGUCAUGGCAUUGAUGGCAGAACUUGACCCCUCAGGAGUACAACUGCGUGCAAGACGAAGAUUUAUAAGAAGAGUUUAUAGUUCUUGUGGCCCAAACUAUGUCUGACAUGCAGAUGGUUAUGACAAACUAAAGCCCUAUGGCUUGGCAAUAAGUGGUUGCAUAGAUGGGUAUUCUCGGAAGGUGCUAUGGUUAGUGUGUCAAGCCAGCAAUAAUGAUUCUGGAGUCAUUGCUCAAAACUAUGUGCAAUGUGUCUCAGAAUUUGGGAAGAUACCAAUGCGCCUCCGCACAGACUGUGGCACUGAAAAUGGAACAAUGGUGGCAAUGCAUUGUACAUUAAGGUCAUCACACACUGAUGAUUUUGCUGGGGCUGCCAGCCAUAUGUAUGGCUCCUCAACAGCCAACCAACGCAUCGAAAGCUGGUGGUCAUAUUUCAGAAAACAAAGAUCUCAGUUCUGGAUGGAUCUCAUGAACGAUUUGAAGGAAAGACAUCUCUUCAAUGGAAGUCAUGAGCACACAUGCCUUGUGCGGUUUGUCUUCAUGGAUCUGCUACAGAGAGAUCUUGAUGAAUGCAAGGACAGGUGGAAUAAACAUACCAUAAGACCUGUUAAACAAUCUUGCUGUCCAUCUGGUAAACCAGAUGUGAUGUAUCAUCUACCUCACAUGUUUGGUGGAACAGACUGUGGUUUCCCAGUCUCCCAGGAGCAAUUGGUUUGUGACAGAGACUAACAACAUUCAAUGUAGAGAUGAACACCUUCAGACACAUUUUGAGAACCUCCAGAGACAGUGUGGCCUAGCACAUCCACAGAGUUGGGAAUCAUGUGUCGAAAACUAUAUCAAACUGAAAAACAUGGUGGACUUAUAAACAAACAAGAAUCCAACUUUGAAGGUCGCACACAAACACUUAACAGUGUCAUAACUGAACAGGUUUGACAAGUUAAAUAGUUAGCAUUUUGUUUUGUUGUUAUGCAUUUGAUCUUAAUAAAGCCCAAACCCAGGGGAGUUUUGAA